rnacentral:rRNA from 1 species
UACGUAGGGGGCAAGCGUUGUCCGGAAUCAUUGGGCGUAAAGAGCGUGUAGGCGGCCAGAAAAGUCCGCUGUGAAAACUCGAGGCUCAACUUCGAGCUGUCGGUGGAAACUUUCUGGCUAGAGUCCGGAAGAGGAGAAUGGAAUUCCUGGUGUAGCGGUGAAAUGCGCAGAUAUCAGGAAGAACACCCGUGGCGAAGGCGGUUCUCUGGGACGGUACUGACGCUGAGUGAGCGAAAGCCAGGGGAGCAAACAGG